UAUUUAUUASAUAAAAAACCAACGCCCUUCGGGGCUCCUUGGUGAAUCAUAAUAACUUAACGAAUCSSAUGGSCUUGCGCCGGCGAUGGUUCAUUCAAAUUUCUGCCCUAUCAACUUUCGAUGGKAGGAUAGUGGCCUACCAUGGUGGCAACGGGUAACGGGGAAUUAGGGUUCRAUUCCGGAGAGGGAGCCUGAGAAACGGCUACCACAUCCAAGGRAGGCAGCAGGCGCGCAAAUUACCCAAUCCCGAUACGGGGAGGUAGUGACAAUAAAUACUGAUACGGGGCUCUUUUGGGUCUCGKAAUUGGAAUGAGAACAAUUUAAAUCCCUUAACGAGGAACAAUUGGAGGGSAAGUCUGGUGCCAGCAGCCGCGGUAAUUCCAGCUCCAAUAGCGUAUAUUAAAGUUGCUGCAGUUAAAAAGCUCGUAGUUGAACCUUGGGUCUGGCUGGCCGGUCCGCCUCACCGCGAGUACUGGCCCGGCUGGACCUUUCCUUCUGGGGAACCUCAUGGCCUUCACUGGCUGUGGGGGGAACCAGGACUUUUACUGUGAAAAAAUUAGAGUGKKCRAAGCAGGC
rnacentral:rRNA from 1 species